rnacentral:tRNA from 1 species
GGGGUUGUGGCUUAGUGGUAGAGCGCUCGCCUUGCACGCGCGAGACCCUGGGUUCCAUCCUCAGCACCACA